UGCCAUGCUGGUUGUGGGUGGUCCUGCUCACAGUCCUCCUGUCAUGCACCAUCUCAUGCUUGUUCGGCUAAGUAUACUCGAGCAUCAGAAGAGGGUAAAUGUCGUUAUGACUUGACGAGCAUAGCUACCCUAUCAUGCGUGCGGCCAGAUGGUGUAUGGAGGCCAUCCUCACAUACAUGCUGCAAUGCAUUAUUAUAUGCUAUUGAUCAAGUUCCAAGUAGCGAUGUGAGUGGAGCAUGUUGCCUUUGCCGCUAUCUCAAAGAAAGAGGGGGCACCUAUUAAACUGGCUACAAGUUAUGUUAUGUGCAAUGGAGAGGACAAACACGUCGUCACCGAGUGGUCAUUUCCAAUCAAAACAUGUUCUGACGAAUGUGGGCAAGGAACCAUUUCCUCACUCGGCAUAGAGUAUGAGGAUACUCCAGCGGUAAAAGCACACAGCACUGUCAACGAGGGACAAGAACAUGUUAGUGGAAUAGGACAAACACACGUCACUACCAAGGUCAUCUGGGUAGCUGUUGUAGUAUUCAUUGUCAUAUGGGUUAUCUGCUUCUGGUAUUUUCGGAGGUCGUCCAAGGCAGCAGAAAAUAAUGUAAGUGAACCCCGAUCUGGGCAACGGCGAUCUGUUGGCCCUUCAUCAGCAAAUUAGCGAAAGGAGAAGAGGCUUUCAUCAACAUGAAAGGGGCUAAAUCAUUUGCAUGAGAUUCACGCGACUGAUUUGGCAUCUAGUUACUACUUGCAGCUCAUCUUGUUCGCCAAGUUACUGUAGUUGUCUUGGGUUGUGUGAUGUAUCCAUAUAUAGAACUACGGGCUUGUUAUUUUUGGUACCUGACCAACAACAACAGCCUCAUAAACUCUAAGAUAGAUAUCCGAUUCACUCUAAUAGUCGUCCAUCCAUGCUUCUGCUUGAUGAUCUCCAUGUGCCGAGGGAUGUUGCUUAGCUUUCA